GCGUGAGUGAUGAAGGCCUUAGGGUUGUAAAGCUCUUUUACCCGGGAUGAUAAUGACAGUACCGGGAGAAUAAGCCCCGGCUAACUCCGUGCCAGCAGCCGCGGUAAUACGGAGGGGGCUAGCGUUGUUCGGAAAUACUGGGCGUAAAGCGCACGUAGGCGGCCAAGUAAGUCAGGGGUGAAAUCCCGGGGCUCAACCCCGGAACUGCCCUUGAAACUGCAUGGCUAGAAUAUUGGAGAGGCAAGUGGAAUUCCGAGUGUAGAGGUGAAAUUCGU
rnacentral:rRNA from 1 species